rfam:Schistosoma mattheei strain Denwood, Zambia genome assembly, scaffold: SMTD_scaffold0004830
GCACUGCUGAUGAGUCCCAUAAUAGGACGAAACGGCCGUCCAGUGC